rnacentral:lncRNA from 1 species
AAAUACAAAUUCAAAUUCAAAUUCAAAUUCAAAUUAAAUAAAUAAAAAUUACAUUAAUUAAUUUAAAAAAUUACAAAAUAGUCCCUAAAAUCUCCAGAAAUUGCAGGGAAGGGCUUCUGGGGCUGCAUGAACAGUAGCGACGCGUCUUCCCACGCGCCACCGCCACUGGCGGCGCGUGGGUUCACGCGCCGCAGCCAGAAAACCCCAGAAACAGGGGGGUAUGGACCGGCUUCUUCGUCUCAGCCCCCCUACGCCGGCGGUGACACCCACCGUCACCUGCAACCACAAGAAAACGCACAAACAGCAGUCCAUUUUAAGUUGUUUGUUUCAUUUUAGAUCUGUUUUUUCUUCUUCUUCAGAUCGGCUUCUUUCGGGUCGGUCACGGUUCGUGACCCGAGAGUUCAUCCCUGCAGCACAUCGGGUUGUUGGGCAUCGUCGGCGCUGAUGGUGGCUGGAUCUCAGGCGUGUCUGUGUUGCUGCUGGCUGAAGAAGCGCCGCUGGUCUGUGGGUUGCUGCUGGCUGCUGUGGCGCUGUUGGCGCGGUGGGGCGGAGGGAAGACUGAGAAGAAAACAACGGGGGCUGCGCCGUGUUCGGUCUGAGAUGAGAGGAGCGGUGGCCGGAGGAGUUAUGGUUUGGGGUUGAGGCCGGUGUGCAGGGGAGUCGGUCUGUUGCCGACCGAAGGAGAUGAUGAAGGGAAUGGGUCUGUCUUGGCUAGCCUUAGCCGUGGAAGAAAAUGAAAAUGGAAGAUGACCGGAGGCCUUGCCAGGGGAGAACGGCUGAAGGAAGAAGAAAAAAAAGUAAUCCGGG